UACAGAGGUCUCAAGCGUUGUUCGGAUCCAUUGGGCGUAAAGCGCACGUAGGCGGGUUGUUAAGUCGGGGGUGAAAUCCUGGAGCUCAACUCCAGAACUGCCUUCGAUACUGGCGACCUUGAGUCCGGGAGAGGUGAGUGGAACUCCGAGUGUAGAGGUGAAAUUCGUAGAUAUUCGGAAGAACACCAGUGGCGAAGGCGGCUCACUGGCCCGGUACUGACGCUGAGGUGCGAAAGCGUGGGGAGCAAACAGG
rnacentral:rRNA from 1 species